ensembl:snRNA U6 U6 spliceosomal RNA
GUGCUCACUUCGGCAGCACAAAUACUAAAAUUGGAACAAUACAGAGAUUAGCAUGGCCACUGCGCGCAAGGAUGACAUGCAAAUUCGUGAAGCAUUCCAUAUUUAA